GACGAACGCUGGCGGCGUGCUUAACACAUGCGAGUCGAACGGAAAGGCCCUGCUUUUGUGGGGUGCUCGAGUGGCGAACGGGUGAGUAACACGUGAGUAACCUGCCCUUGACUUUGGGAUAACUUCAGGAAACUGGGGCUAAUACCGGAUAGGAGCUCCUGCUGCAUGGUGGGGGUUGGAAAGUUUCGGCGGUUGGGGAUGGACUCGCGGCUUAUCAGCUUGUUGGUGGGGUAGUGGCUUACCAAGGCUUUGACGGGUAGCCGGCCUGAGAGGGUGACCGGCCACAUUGGGACUGAGAUACGGCCCAGACUCCUACGGGAGGCAGCAGUGGGGAACAUUGCACAAUGGGCGGAAGCCUGAUGCAGCAACGCCGCGUGCGGGAUGACGGCCUUCGGGUUGUAAACCGCUUUCGCCUGUGACGAAGCGUGAGUGACGGUAAUGGGUAAAGAAGCACCGGCUAACUACGUG
rnacentral:rRNA from 1 species